CUGGAAGAAUCACAGCGUGGAAUUUCAUGGUUGGAGAUUUUGGUGUAGAAGAGGAGAGGAUUAUGUGCAAUUGCCAGAAAGAAAAAAAGAGAAAAGGAAUAAAAGACCCUUAUCCUGGAAGGCUUUGUCUUUUUAUGCAAGAUUGGAAAUGGCUGAGAGACAGUUCUCUAUGAAGAUUUCAGGUCUGCAAUAUCCAGACCUUCUGCACAAAAGGCAUGUUUGAACAGCAAAGGUUUUGCAAGCUACAGCCUCACAGACACCACCCUCUUGCUCUUAUCUGGACACAUUUGCUUAUAUAACAAGAGGUACACAAUUAUUGAAGAAAAGUCUGGAAUGCACAAAAGCAAAAGCAAAACAAAACAAAACAAAAAACACAAUCAAAAUGCCCCAGGCCACAGACAAACUGUUGAGAAGGUGCUACAGCAUUCAAGCCAAGAUGACAACAGAAUUCCAUAUUGUGGAUCUCUUCCUGCUCCAAAUGGAUAAUGACGGUGGCAGAAAUUUAAAAGAGAACAUUCGAGAAGACAUACGUAUACAAUAAGAUCAAUACAAACAACUUUGUGUAACAGAAAUAAAAAUUUCUUACUU